rnacentral:rRNA from 1 species
AGUCGUAACAAGGUUUCCGUAGGUGAACCUGCGGAAGGAUCAUUAAAGAGUAAGGGUGCUCAGCGCCCGACCUCCAACCCUUUGUUGUUAAAACUACCUUGUUGCUUUGGCGGGACCGCUCGGUCUCGAGCCGCUGGGGAUUCGUCCCAGGCGAGCGCCCGCCAGAGUUAAACCAAACUCUUGUUAUUAAACCGGUCGUCUGAGUUAAAAUUUUGAAUAAAUCAAAACUUUCAACAACGGAUCUCUUGGUUCUCGCAUCGAUGAAGAACGCAGCGAAAUGCGAUAAGUAAUGUGAAUUGCAGAAUUCAGUGAAUCAUCGAAUCUUUGAACGCACAUUGCGCCCCUUGGUAUUCCGAGGGGCAUGCCUGUUCGAGCGUCAUUACACCACUCAAGCUAUGCUUGGUAUUGGGUGCCGUCCUUAGUUGGGCGCGCCUUAAAGACCUCGGCGAGGCCUCCCCGGCUUUAGGCGUAGUAGAAUUUAUUCGAACGUCUGUCAAAGGAGAGGACUUCUGCCGACUGAAACCUUUUAUUUUUCUAGGUUGACCUCGGAUCAGGUAGGGAUACCCGCUGAACUUAAGCAUAUCAAUAGUAAAAGUCG